GUCUUUGUAGUGUAGUGGUGGGCAGGCUUGACUCGUAUUCGAGAGGUCCGUGGUUCGAUUGCCGGCGAAGGCA
rnacentral:tRNA from 1 species